GCUUUCUUGAACUAACUCUAAAGGGUCUACCAGAUACAUUGACAGAAAGAAAAGGAGUUGCAUAAGGGACUGUUCUUACUUGAACAUGAUUGAUGAAAUGAGAUGAAAAAAGUUGCCUAAAGUUUUGAUCUUUAGUUGAUUGAAGAAGUGUGAGUCCACUGGAAGGAGCAAAAAGAGACAUUUUCCUCAACUAGUUCAAGAAACUUGGAUGCUGGCCAAGAAUUUUGGUGGUCUUAA
rnacentral:misc_RNA from 1 species